GGAAGGUGACCUUGACGCUGCCUCCCGCUCGGCCUGGCCCCUCCGCCUGGCGUUUCAGGGCUGCACGGAGACCACCGAUGCCCUGCUCCACACCAACUGCGUCCUUUUCCCUAGAGAGAAACUGAGGCAGAGAGGGCCCCAGUUCUGCCCUGGGCAAUGCGUGCCCACUGCCCAUCUCCCUGGAGAGCCAGCCUGUGCCAGGCAGCUGCAUCUGCCUCCCACCCUGUCAUGAGCUGUCAGCCUUGAUUUUGUCCCACAUUUGCUGUGUGAUCUUGGGAAAGUCAUUGUGCCCCUCCAACCGUCAUCAAGCACCCUUGCACAGACA
rnacentral:lncRNA from 1 species